rnacentral:pre_miRNA from 1 species
GAUUUCAAAUGGAAAAGCCAUAAACAGCAAAGUUGUACAACUUAUCAAGAUCUACAACUUUUAUGUUGGUCACUUCUUUAUCCGACAAAGUGAUAGUACCAAUGUUUACAAAAUUGACAUAUCUGUGUUGAUAUUUAUAAACCAGAUGAGGGAAAUGUGAUUUUUGUGAAUAAUAUAACUAUCACUUUGUCGGAUGAAGAAGUAACCAAAAUAAAAGUUGUAGAUCUUGAUAAGUUGUAGAACUUUGCUGUUUAUGGCUUUUCCAUUUGAAAUC